rnacentral:rRNA from 1 species
UACGGGGGGAGCAAGCGUUGUUCGGAUUUACUGGGCGUAAGGGGCGCGUAGGCGGCCAGCACAAGUCAGUUGUGAAAUCUCCGAGCUUAACUCGGAAAGGUCAACUGAUACUGUGCGGCUAGAGUUCGGUAGGGGAGAUCGGAAUUCCUGGUGUAGCGGUGAAAUGCGCAGAUAUCAGGAGGAACACCGGUGGCGAAGGCGGGUCUCUGGGCCGAUACUGACGCUGAGGAGCGAAAGCGUGGGGAGCGAACAGG